CUAGUUUCAUUCCUCAGUAGUAUCUUGUGAAGGCAGAAUUGAACUGCAUGGCCAAAACAUACAAAUGAAGCAAAGAGAAAAUCCAGAGAAUGGAUGUGAGCAAGCAAGAGAGUAUUUAUAGAGUUCGACUACAAACAACAAUAGCAGGUACCCACUAAUAUUUCAUGUCCUUAUACUAGCACCGAAAAUUGAAAACAAAGGUUACUAAUCCAAAAUACAAAGGUUUAACAGUCUUUCAUAGGUAACCUAAAUGAUGGGAAGAGCAAAUGCAGAUAUUCUCCAUCUAAGCUUUUCUAGUAUUAAUAGUUCUGCGAGUAGUCAAAACUCAGAGGCUGCUGACAAAAGGGGGCCUGCAAGAAGUACAAAAAGGAGGGGUGAAUAAGUUUCUUGUAUGCAAUAAUGAAAUUGAACAUGGACAUUAACUUAACAAUUCCGAGGCAUAUAUAUGGCAAAAAAUCAGCAAGCCUUAACGGUAUUUAUAUCUUUUCAGUAUACUGAAAAUGUAAUAUCACAUGCAAACCCAA
rnacentral:lncRNA from 1 species